rnacentral:rRNA from 1 species
UACGUAGGGCCCGAGCGUUGUCCGGAUUCAUUGGGCGUAAAGAGCUCGUAGGCGGCUGCUCAAGUCGAACGUGAAAACUCGGGGCUCAACUCCGAGCUUGCAGUCGAUACGGGCAGGCUAGAGUUCGGCAGGGGAGACUGGAAUUCCUGGUGUAGCGGUGAAAUGCGCAGAUAUCAGGAGGAACACCGGUGGCGAAGGCGGGUCUCUGGGCCGAUACUGACACUGAGGAGCGAAAGCAUGGGGAGCGAACAGG